UACGUAGGGUGCGAGCGUUGUCCGGAAUUAUUGGGCGUAAAGAGCUUGUAGGUGGUUUGUCGCGUCUGCUGUGAAAAUCCGAGGCUCAACCUCGGACUUGCAGUGGGUACGGGCAGACUAGAGUGUGGUAGGGGAGACUGGAAUUCCUGGUGUAGCGGUGGAAUGCGCAGAUAUCAGGAGGAACACCGAUGGCGAAGGCAGGUCUCUGGGCCAUUACUGACACUGAGGAGCGAAGGCGUGGGGAGCGAACAGG
rnacentral:rRNA from 1 species